UACGUAGGGUGCGAGCGUUGUCCGGAAUUACUGGGCGUAAAGGGCUUGUAGGUGGCCAACUAAGUCAGACGUGAAAUCCCUCAGCUUAACUGGGGAACUGCGUCUGAUACUGGAUGGCUUGAGUUUGGGAGAGGGAUGCGGAAUUCCAGGUGUAGCGGUGAAAUGCGUAGAUAUCUGGAGGAACACCGGUGGCGAAGGCGGCAUCCUGGACCAACACUGACACUGAGGAGCGAAAGCCAGGGGAGCAAACGGG
rnacentral:rRNA from 1 species